rnacentral:rRNA from 1 species
UGGGGAAUUUUGGACAAUGGGCGAAAGCCUGAUCCAGCCAUGCCGCGUGAGUGAAGAAGGCCUUCGGGUUGUAAAGCUCUUUUAGUCGGAAAGAAAGAGUUGCAAUGAAUAAUUAUGAUUCAUGACGGUACCGACAGAAAAAGCACCGGCUAACUACGUGCCUGCAGCCGCGGGAAUACGUAGGGUGCGAGCGUUAAUCGGAAUUACUGGGCGUAAAGGGUGCGCAGGCGGUUUUGUAAGUCAGAUGUGAAAUCCCCGGGCUUAACCUGGGAAUUGCGUUUGAAACUGCAAGACUAGAGUGCAGCAGAGGGGAGUGGAAUUCCAUGUGUAGCAGUGAAAUGCGUAGAGAUGUGGAAGAACACCGAUGGCGAAGGCAGCUCCCUGGGUUGACACUGACGCUCAUGCACGAAAGCGUGGGGAGCAAACA